rnacentral:misc_RNA from 1 species
GUGGGAGGGGGCUUGCUGCCGAUGGCAGUGGUUCAGUCAAUAUCUUCAGUGACUGAUUCACCGCCAUCGGCAGCAAGCCCCCUCCCAC